rnacentral:tRNA from 1 species
GGGCCCGUAGCCUAGGUGGAUAGGGAUAUCCAUGGUUGCCCCAAACACGGAUCAGGGCAUCAGCCUGCGGAGCUGAGGGUCGCCGGUUCGAAUCCGGCCGGGCCCG